rnacentral:rRNA from 1 species
CGGACGGGUGAGUAAUGCUUGGGAACAUGCCUUGAGGUGGGGGACAACAGUUGGAAACGACUGCUAAUACCGCAUAAUGUCUACGGACCAAAGGGGGCUUCGGCUCUCGCCUUUAGAUUGGCCCAAGUGGAAUUAGCUAGUUGGUGAGGUAAUGGCUCACCAAGGCAACGAUCCCUAGCUGGUUUGAGAGGAUGAUCAGCCACACUGGGACUGAGACACGGCCCAGACUCCUACGGGAGGCAGCAGUGGGGAAUAUUGCACAAUGGGCGCAAGCCUGA